GUCCACGCCGUAAACGAUGGGUGCUAGAUGUCACGGGCUUUGACCCCUGUGGCGUCGUAGCCAACGCGUUAAGCACCCCGCCUGGGGAGUACGGUCGCAAGACUAAAACUCAAAGGAAUUGACGGGGCCCGCACAAGCGGUGGAGCAUGUGGUUUAAUUCGACGCAACGCGAAGAACCUUACCUGGGCUAGAAAACGCAGGAACCCUACCGAAAGGUGGGGGUGCUCUUCGGAGAAUCUGUGGUUAGGUGCUGCAUGGCUGUCGU
rnacentral:rRNA from 1 species